rnacentral:rRNA from 1 species
UCCUACGGGAGGCAGCAGUGGGGAAUAUUGGACAAUGGGCGAAAGCCUGAUCCAGCAAUGCCGCGUGAGUGAUGAAGGCCUUAGGGUUGUAAAGCUCUUUUACCAGGGAUGAUAAUGACAGUACCUGGAGAAUAAGCUCCAGCUAACUCCGUGCCAGCAGCCGCGGUAAU